rnacentral:rRNA from 1 species
ACUGGUCGAGUCGGCCUGCGCGGAAGAUGUAACAGGGCUAAACCAUGCACCGAAGCUGCGGCAGCGACGCUUAUGCGUUGUUGGGUAGGGGAGCGUUCUGUAAGCCUGCGAAGGUGGCCUGUGAGGGCUGCUGGAGGUAUCAGAAGUGCGAAUGCUGACAUAAGUAACGAUAAAGCGGGUGAAAAGCCCGCUCGCCGGAAGAC